UCGAAUUUACUCCCUCUCCUAGCAACUGUCUUUAUUAUUAUAAGUUAACAGAUAAAAUACAAUUUACUUUCCGUUAGACUAGAUAAGAACUGACCUAUAUGAUUAUGUUUAAAGAUACUGCAUUUUUUUUAGGAUUUUUAAUUAACUUUUUCUGUCUUCUCUUUUUCACUACUGUCUACGUGAUUGUUAACUCGUUGCUAAAUGCAACGCCCCCUGAAACGUCAUAAUUCAAACAUCUUAUCUACUAAUCAUUAAAUUGUAUAACAAUUGGAAAGUAAAUAAUUUCUCGCGCACGAUAUUAAACUGUAAAACUCGGUAAAAAAAAAAAUAAUAAUAAUAAUAAAUACAGAAAAAGACAUAAGCACAACAAAAGCAACAAUCAAAUGGCAAGGACAAGGACAUUCCAUACGCAAUAGGGCAGGCCAUACUUGACAGGCGAUGAAUUAAGCAGACCAGAAAAUAACAAUUAUGAGCUUUUUCUUCGCCAGCUUGUGGAAAAAUCUAUAAAUUUAUAUUUUGUAAUUUCGAGUGCCCUUCCCCUUUGGGGAGAGAAAAACCGUUGCUCAACAGCAGCAAGUGGACAAAAAUACCAAUACACCCCCUUCCUUUUACGCACACAGUACUGUUGCCCCUUUUGCGGCAGCCGACAACACACAUAUUGCUUCUUACAUAAUGGCCUCUGCAAUACCUUUUGAUUGUUGCCGAGUGGUAUGGACACAAUACGGCCACC